rnacentral:lncRNA from 1 species
UGCAGUCAAAUAAAUAUAAUAUACUAGAGUAUUAAAAAGCAUGAAUUCUACGUUCCGUUUAUUUUCAGAUUAAGCCAUGGUGAUGAAAAAAGUACUAAUAGUAUAGUAUAAUGAUUGAGUACCAUUCUUGCAUUCAUAUCACUAAUAUAAACGUACAUUGCUUAUUGUCUCAAAUAAAUACUGAAAUUGAUUCCAAUAAUCUCUUGAAUGUUCUGAAUGGAUUUAAACUGAACUCGAGAGAUGAGCAAUUCGCAAGUCAAAACUAUAUUUUGUGGGCGGGUUUAGAUGCUCAGAAUGGUGUUAAAACAAAGGUCAUAAUAACAUGUAACUAAUGUUUGAAAUGAAAAGCAAUAUUUUGUCACCAUGCUUUGUUGCAAUAUCAAUAUUAACUUAUAAUCUUAUUAUAAAAAAAAAUAUAAAACUGUUCGUGUUUUUUCUUUUCCUUUCUUUUCUCAGGCUGAUUAUUUUCUGAUAUGUUCUGAUUUUUUGUUAUUUAUGAUUGAAUUAUCUCCGUUCGUCUGUUAACUACAGAAACGGUUAUAUUGUUCGAUUCAUAAAAAAAUGUGUAGGUUUUUCAUAUUUCAUUUUAGUGAUUGAUAUUUUCGAAAAAUAGUAAAUUUGCCCGAAAUGAAAGGUGCAGUUUUGCUUUACAAUGCGUGAAUUUCAGUGGACGGAGCAUAGUCACGAAUUGAAAAAAACUUUGAAUAAUAAAUUCACCAAAAUUAAUUCGUUUGAACAAUUCAAAGUUGCUUAUAACUAUAGUUCACAAUGAAGCAAAUCCUAACACUAAGAAUAUUAAUCAAUCUAUCACACAUUUU